rnacentral:rRNA from 1 species
GCCAGCGAUAGCACGUUUAAAGCACCCAGUUCCCAAUGGACGGUUGAAGUUAAACAACGUUGCGCGUGUUUGGUCUCCGGAUGGGUGACCCUCUGGGCAAUCGCGUGGUGCUGACU